GAUGAACGCUAGCGACAGGCUUAACACAUGCAAGUCGAGGGGCAGCACAGGUAGCAAUACCGGGUGGCGACCGGCGCACGGGUGAGUAACGCGUAUGCAACUUACCUAUCAGAGGGGGAUAACCCGGCGAAAGUCGGACUAAUACCGCAUGAAGCAGGGGUCCCGCAUGGGGAUAUUUGCUAAAGAUUCAUCGCUGAUAGAUAGGCAUGCGUUCCAUUAGGCAGUUGGCGGGGUAACGGCCCACCAAACCGACGAUGGAUAGGGGUUCUGAGAGGAAGGUCCCCCACAUUGGGACUGAGACACGGACCAAACUCCUACGGGAGGCAGCAGUGAGGAAUAUUGGUCAAUGGCCGAGAGGCUGAACCAGCCAAGUCGCGUGAGGGAUGAAGGUUCUAUGGAUCGUAAACCUCUUUUAUAAGGGAAUAAAGUGCGGGACGUGUCCCGUUUUGUAUGUACCUUAUGAAUAAGGAUCGGCUAACUCCGUG
rnacentral:rRNA from 1 species